rnacentral:snRNA from 1 species
GUGCUUGCUUUGACAUCACAUAUACUAAAAUUGGAACAAUAUAGAGAAAAUUAGCAUGGCCCUGGCUCAAGAAUGACUUGCAAAUUCAUGAAAUGUUCCAUAUUUAA